GCCCUAGUGGUACAACGGUUAAGCAUUCAGCUGUUAACUGAAAAGUUGCCGGUUCAAACCCAGCCGGGGGCU
rnacentral:tRNA from 1 species